AUGGAUCUGUCUACAUUAUCUAAUCUUUCAAGAGACAACUCUUCAUUGAUUUUUUUGUAUUUUGUACUUAAUGUCAAUUGCAUUAACUUCUGCUCUGAUCUUUAUACUUUCCGUCUUUGUAUGAACUUUGGGUUUAACGUAUUCUUUUUUUUCUAGAAACUUGAGUUCAAUAUUAUGUUGUUUCUUUGACCUACUCCAUUUGUCUGAUGUGAGAAUUCAGUGCUACAAACUUCCCCCACACAACUGCUUUCAUUGUGUCACAUAAUUUUCAGUGUGUGAUAUUGGUAUUAUUUAAUCAUAAAAACUAUUUAAUUUCUUCUUUAAUGUUCUCUGCGACCUAUUGUACAAUGAAAAAAACAUAGACAUAGGAGUUCAAAAGAGGGGAAGUGAUCCAGCAGGACUGGCCCAAAGGUCCUCUGCCCUUGCCUAGCACGGAAACAGCUAUUUUGAGACAUUCCCAGAUAGCUGGUGGGAUCAGGACAGUUUGACGGAGUCUAGCUUCGUAGGACAGACUUGUGGUACAUGAGCCCUUCGUCCCAUUGCUUCCUCUCCAAACACAGAAGGAGCUUCGACUUGGCAGCAUUUUUGCCAGCACACCCAGGAGCUGCUUCCACCUACUCAUUUGUUCGCAGACUCUGAGAAGAUAAACAACCGAGAGCUGCUUGUGCCAUGAGUCUUCAGCCUUGGAUCCCAGGCACAUCUGAGUCACUUCCAGGAGCCUCUUGUUUAUCGCACACAGUUCUGGCUUGCAGACAUUCAUCAAGGAGUACGGAUGUCCUCUCUGCUUCCUGUCAUCACACACUUGCCCACCAGAUACCUGUGAGCAGAAC
rnacentral:lncRNA from 1 species